GGGGAUUUAGCUCAGCGGCAUAAGCGCCUGCCUUGCAAGCAGGCAGUCGUGAGAUCGAUCCCCG
rnacentral:tRNA from 1 species